UGAUCAUACAAGCUGUUGGGCUGGAAGUUUGCAGCCCCUGUGCCAAUCCAACUUGAACCACUGUGACUGAGAGCAGAAUUUUAAGCAUGGCCAUCAUAGCUGCACCCAACAACACAUUCUAAUUGUGAUACAGAUCUCGCCCUGUCACUCCCCCUCUUAUGACACCUCCAGGGCUGAUGCUGUGCCUCGGGCAAAACCCAAGCUUUUCUCACAGCAGAGAAGCCAUUGUCAGGUACCUAGAUUCAGCUCUCCAUGGAGUCCUUUCCAUUGAGUGACUUCAUGAACAACACAGAGGUAUUACACACCCUAAAGAGAUUCAUUCCAACAUUCAAGAAGAAAAUGGACUGAUGUUCAUGGAGUCCAGCUGUCUCACCAG